ACCUCACCAUGCAGCCAUAUCAGUUACCAUAAAUAUCUCUAGAAAAUCUGUUGCUUCUCUACUCUCCGCCCUGACAUGACUAUGAAAGCUAAAAAGUUGGUCCAGCACAUGAAUUCUUUCCAAUUCCUUGGGAACAUAAUUACCUGGAACUUGCUAAAUCAGUUCAUCAAAAACUUGCUAUUGUGCUAAUGUUUAGAGAAAGGACACAUCUUAGAUGCAGAUAUGCCUGUGCCCCUAACCAAUUUUAUUUUCAUCACAGGAACCACUCUCUGAGAAGUGACCUUCUCCUUCAUCUUAACUGCUUUCUGUCAUCUUUCCAUCUUCUGCUCCUGGAACUUGGCUCCACAGAAGAAAAUUCAUCCCUGGCCACCCUCUCCAGGUUGAUAGUCAAAGAAUUCAUCAUCAUGUGAUCAGCCCACUUUUGGUGAACCUUCCUGUUGGCCCUCAGAAAGUAGACACAGGUUGUUGCCAAGGCUAUCCUCAAUUCCUUCCAGCUUGGUAAAAUAUUCCAAAACUUUUUUUCUGCUAGCAGAACCAUGAUCAUCUCGAUGCUACAAUAAGGUAUCAGAGUAUAAGACUUGUGGAGAAUUUUAUUGUUUUGUUGGCUUUUGUCUGUUUUUAAGUAUAAGUUUUAAUGAAAAGGCAAAAAGUAGAAAUUUUCUCCUUAUUUCAAUUCUGAGUAUAUUUUGAAAGUCAUCCUUUAUAGAAAAUAUAUUUUUCCAGUUUAAUUCAUUUCUCAGUGACAAGAUAAUAUAUGUGUAUACACAUUUAGAAGUGAUAAAAGGGAUGAUAUCUUGAAAUCUACAAUGAUACAAAAUGUAAUGCUAUCCAAUUCUUGAUUGAAAUAUCAAAUUAAAGAUUUCUGUGUAAAUAUACCUUGGUAUAACUUGAAUAUAACAUAAAUAUUAUUUGUUGUAAUGUCUAGCACAGUGAUGGUGAACCUUUUAGAGACUGGGUGUUCAACCUGCAACCCUCUUGCUGCAUGUGAGCCCUGCCUUACCCCCUACAGGGGAGGGAAGAAGUGCUCCCUUUCGGCUGCUGGGCAGAGGGGUGGGUUAUGUGAGAACUGUCCUCAGGCAUGGUGAAGAGGAGGAAAGAAGUUCCCUCUGGCAUGCUCUAGCAUGUAGGUUUGCCAACAUAGUUCUAGCAUGUACUUCGUAUACAUGAAUAUGCAAUGUUCAUACAUGAAUAUGGCCCUGGAAUAAUUUGAACAUCACAUGAGUGUUAUUUCUGAUAGCAUCUGUGUAUACUUUGUGUAUACUUUGGAGGUAUAUCGUAUACUUAACAUGU
rnacentral:lncRNA from 1 species